CCAAAUUGGCAGCGGUCCCGGGGCGUGACAGAUAGGUUGGUAUCAGAGCCAAUAGUGAAAGAAUAGGAAUGGACCUAGAGACCUAUAGGAUUGGAAGGCCUUAAGGAUCUAGGAAACGUGAGUGACGUGGGAUCAAGUUAGCGAAAGCAUGUGAUUGGGUUAAGUUGGAACGUCUCUAAUGUGAUUAGAGGCUAGGUUUAAUUUUCGUUUAUCCUCUACUUCUAGUGUUGUGUCGGGCGGCCGACGACAUGACGCUUGAGGCAAGGAUGAAUAUGCAUGUUGCUUUCGCCUAAUUGGGUAUGGUCAAGUAAUGUUGGUCAAGUGACUAAUGUGAGUUGCUUCUUUUCAGGAAGCAAUGGCACCUCGACGUCGAUCGCAGACAAGGUCGAUGCCGGAGGAAGCGAAUGCGGUG
rnacentral:lncRNA from 1 species